rnacentral:lncRNA from 1 species
GUUUCUAUUCAGCCUUUAAAAGUCAUUUGUACGUUCUUUGUAGUUACAUUUCUAACAGAGGAAAUGUAUUUUCAGUUGAGAAUAACUAAAUAUUUAAUUUUGAGCUGAUAUGUUUUUUUGUUAAAUUGUGCAGGACUUCCUACAAGCAAGCAAGUUGGAUGCCAAAUUCCAUGGUAACCAAAAUAGUUCAAAAACAGCUUAGCACAUCAUCUACGCGAUUUAGAAGGUUUAGAAGUGGAUGAGAAACCCUAGCCGCCUCCCUGUGGAGCAACCCUAUGUAUCUUCAUCCCCAAUUCCGAUUGUAAGCAACAUGUAAGUUUUUUUUUUCUGAAUCUUUAAUCCUCCAAACCUAACUUUCUUUGAUUGAAGCUUCUUCUAAUUUAAACCUCUAAAUCUCUGUCGUAUUCUACAUUGGCGAUUCCAAAGGUACGUUUUCACUAUUCGAUUUCAUCUAAUCUUCAACAAUGAUCUGAUGACGUAAUUUUUUAUAUCAAAUUGGUUAGAAUAACUGAAUCGGUAGAUUGAUUUAUGACCUAGGGUUUAUGUAGCAUGUAUUUUUUUCAUUUUUUAGAUCAAAACAGUUGGAUUAAUUGGACUGGUAUAGUGAAUUAUGACCUAGGGUUUAUGAACUAUCAACUAUGAUUUGUUUUUUUUUUUUUUUUUGUGGAUGACGGAAAAGCUAGCAACGAUUCUUUUUUGUUCAACCGAUGGAGCUAUGAUGACGUUCAGGUGUUAGUGGUGUUCUGGAGGCGAAUCGAAGUUCACGUCGUCUGGUACUUUGGUAACAAUUACAUUUCGUCAAUCACGUUUGCAACUUCUAGAAGCUCCAGUCCAAGAAACUUUGAUAGAGGCUGAACCAUUUUUCUCAAACAAGGUUCAGGGAGUACCAGAGAUCACACAAGAAGAAUGGAGAAGGGCUAAUUAUGCACCAAAUUACACAGCCAUGUCAUCAUUCAUUAACCGCCAUAUGACAAAUGGCAUUUUAGGAUACUUUCUGCCGAAUGUAUGCGUUGCCAUCAUAGACCAAAAUUACUUCUACCAAUGCCUGAAGAUGGCAGUCACUGGUCUUCACUGCACAGCUAGGAUCUUUGAUGAUUCUCUCGGCAGUUUGCACAUGAAUGCAAGUACAGCCACUGAAUGCCUUUAGGAUAUUUAGUGAGCGAGGUCCCGAAGUUUGCACUAAGCAACAUUGCUAUUGUCGGCCAUUGGAACUGUUAGUGAAUGUGUGGGCUUACCAUAGUGCUUGAACCAUGGUUUACAUUGAUCCAAAUUCUGGAUCACUAGAAGAACAACACUGAAUUUUAUUCGUUAAAUGAUUGGAUCGAUAUUCUAGGCGUCCCAUUGCUUCAGUUUUGUUGAUCAUGGAAAACGGAUUAUCACUAAUACCGUCAAAGGAUGCAUGAAAGGGUAUAUACGCGUUUGGCUGUAUAAAGAGAGAAGUACACGGGUUGUGUGAGCGAUCGGUGGAGACCGCGGACCAUGUCUGGAAAAAAAUGGUGUGGACACAGGUGUAUGCUUGGCUCAGAAUUCCGUCGGGUGCCAGAUUCGGUGGGAAGUAGACUGCAAAAUACUUUAUGGCGACUGUGGAAGAAUAGAAAUUGUAAACUAUUUGAUGAUAGAAACUUUUUGGUGAGCAAACUGGCUAAAGAAAUAAAAGAGGAGGCGUUCAAGUGGUGUCGAUAGAGAUUAAAGGUAUCGGGUGUGUCUUGGUAUGAAUGGGGGCAAUUUCAUUUAGCAAUUUAGAAUCAUGUUUAGUAACAUGAGUAGUGCAUUUGAGUUUUUAGUAGUAUCUGAUGUCUCUGUAAUAUGGGUCGCUUAGCGUCUUCCUAUGUGGCCGGUUUGUGGGUAAUAAAAUGUUCCGUUUUGUCGUUAAAAACAGGUGAAAAAAAACUUUUGUGGUUAUUUCAUCAUUUAUUUAUCUUUUUGUUUUGU